ACUAUCUAAGGGAAUGUGGGAUAGUCUCACAAUUGACACCUCCCAGGACACCACAGUUGAAUGGUGUGGCUGAGAGGCGUAAUCGAACCUUGUUAGAUAUGGUUCGUUCCAUGAUGAGUCGAGCUACGCUACCAAUCUCAUUCUGGGGGUAUGCCUUAGAGACUGCCGCCCAUAUUCUUAAUCUAGUCCCUACAAAGAAAGUUGCCAAAACUCCUCACGAGAUGUGGACUGGUAAAGUACCUAAACUAGACCACAUCAAGAUUUGGGGUUGCGAGGCUUUCGUGAGACGCGAGACUCAUGAUAAGCUCGAACCUCGAAGCGAGAGGUGUAUUUUCAUCGGUUACCCACAGCGAUCCUUUGGUUACCUCUUCUACAGACCUAGUGACAAUGUGGUCUUUGUAGCAAGAAGAGGAGUCUUUCGAGAAAGAGAGUUUAUAAGCCAAGGAGACAGUGGGAGGCAAAUUGAUCUUGAAGAAAUUCAAGAAUCAAGCGGUGAAGGAACUUCAAACUCUAGCCCUCAACUUGAGGAGGAAACUCCUGUUGAGCCAAUUGACAAAUCUGUACCUCUGAGACGUUCCACGAGAGUUAGGAGUGCACCUGAGCAUUACUAUGGAUUCCAUAUUACUGCAGAAGGUGAGACACUUAUUAGUGAUGAGACACUAGUAAGUCAAGAUGACCCUAACAGCUACGAGGAAGCCAUGGCAGGCCCCGAGUCUGCUAAAUGGAAAGAGGCUAUGGAUAGCGAGAUACAAUCCAUGUAUGACAAUCAAGUUUGGAACUUGGUUGAAAAUGUACCAGGUCGUAAGACAGUAGGGUGCAAAUGGGUCUUCAAGAAGAAGACCGACAUGGAUGGUAAAGUACACACUUAUAAGGCUAGACUGGUUGCAAAGGGCUUCUCUCAAAUUCCUGGAGUGGAUUAUGAUGAGACCUUUUCUCCGGUAGCCAAGAUUAAGUCUAUUCGGGUUCUGUUAGCCAUAGCUGCAUUUCAUGACUAUGAAAUAUGGCAGAUGGAUGUCAAAACCGCUUUCCUUAAUGGAAAGUUGGCUGAAGAUGUUUACAUGAGUCAGCCAGAGGGUUUUGUCAGCAACGAGUACCCUAAUAGAGUGUGUAAGCUUGAGAAAUCCAUUUAUGGAUUGAAGCAAGCACCUCGCAGAUGGAAUCUUUGCUUUGAUGAAAAGGUCAAGGAAUUUGGCUUUUCUAGGAGUGAAGAUGAAUCUUGUGUGUAUGUCAAGGCUAGUGGGAGUAUAGUUAGCUUUUUGGUAUUGUAUGUGGAUGACAUACUACUCAUAGGAAACGACAUUCCAACCCUGCAGGAAGUAAAGUCCUGGCUUGGGAAGUGUUUCGCUAUGAAGGACCUUGGUGAAGCUGCCUAUAUUCUAGGGAUAAGAAUCUUGAGAGAUCGGAGUAAAAGACUAAUUGGACUUAGUCAGAGUACCUACUUGGAUAAGGUGCUGAAGAGAUUCAGCAUGCAGGAUUCCAAGAAAGGAGAGUUACCCAUCCAGAGUAACACCAGAUUGAGUAAGACACAAAGCCCUAGCACUGAGGCUGAGAUAGCAGAAAUGAGUCGAACACCUUACGCUUCGGCUGUAGGAUCGAUCAUGUAUGCUAUGACGUGUACUCGACCCGAUGUAGCUUUUGCCUUGAGCAUGGUUAGCAGGUAUCAGGCGAACCCUGGCAAGGCACACUGGACUGCGGUAAAGAAUAUCCUCAAGUACCUACGGAGGACUAAGGACUGGGUCCUUACCCUCGGUGGGAGUGAUGACUUGAGAGUUGUAGGGUAUAGUGAUGCUAGCUUCCAGACUGAUAGGGAUAAUUUCCGCUCUCAGUCGGGCUGGGUCUUUACCCUAAACGGAGGAGCAAUUUCUUGGAAGAGUUCCAAGCAAGAGACAGUGGCAGAUUCUACUUGUGAAUCAGAGUAUAUUGCAGCUAGUGAAGCAGCAAAGGAGGCGAUAUGGCUGAAGAACUUCAUUGGAGACCUUGGAGUUGUACCAGCUAUUAAAGAGCCAAUGGAAAUUUUCUGUGAUAGUGAAAGUGCUGUUGCCUUAGCCAAGGAACCAAGGGAUCAUGGGAGAUCCAGACACAUCGACAGAAAAUACCAUUUCAUUAGACAUCGGAUCGAAGAAGGACUCCUCGUGGCAAAGAGGGUAUCAUCGGAUGAGAACCCAGCAGAUCCCCUCACGAAGGGACUGAGUAGGGUUAAGCAUCUCCAGCAUGCUCGGAGCAUAGGGCUGAAGGAUGAUAUAAGUUUUAGUAGUUAGAUAACCCAGAAAUUUGUAAAGUGUAAUUGACAUUUGAUGAUGAAUAAAAGGUGUUUUAUUUAUGAGUAAAGUGUUGCUAUCUCUUGUCGAUCGUUUACUAUAUUUCUUUUGCAUGUUUUGACUUCCAGAAUAAUUUUGUUUGGUAUAACAUAUUAUUCAAACCUCCACAGUCGGUCAUAUGUUGGAAGUAGAUAUGAAUCAAGACUGUCAUGUUUGGUUGUAGAGGUCUUGGACAAGGCUACAACAAUCAUGAGUGCUCAUAAGUUCUGAGCAUUGGACUCAACCCACGCUCACUGGAAUCACUUCAUGGAAUUCUAUCUCGAGUGAUCGUGAGACGGUAAUAUCAUAUAAGUCUUCAAACCUAGAGAUAUGAUUUGUUACUUACAAGUUGGUUAUGCAUUGACUGUACGAAACCGCAUUGGUAACUCGAUGUUAUAAAACGUACUUUUGUGUGUAAUUCAAUGAGUGGUAGAACAAACAUAUGAGUCGAAGUUUAUCUGUUCCUUCUUGGAUUAGAAGCUGAUAUCUGGGCCCCUCGAUGAUUUUGUUUUGACCCAUGUACCGGGCCCGGUCAGAACUAAGUUGAUGUGUUCAAUUAAGUUCUAUGUCAAACAAAUCGGAAAUCGGGAAACAAAUGCUGGACAAUAAGCAAGACAAUGUUCCAUGUAUUUGUCCGGCUGAUAUCUAGAACGGAGGAUUAUAUGAUCACUUAUCUUAAAUGGCGUACCAUCAUCUUCUCAGUUCCGAGAGACCUUGAAAGAGCUACGAUUGCCGGUCGGUUCCUGAAGUACUAGAGAUAUAGUUAUUAGACUUAUCCAAGUGGGAGACUGUUGGAUAAGGUGUCUAAGUCCAUAACUAUUUCGGGCUUGUACUUGACCCGACCCGGCAUGGUCCAUUUGGGUUGCAUGGCACCAUGCAAUUGGAUAGACUAAAUGAGAGAAAUAACACUUGGAGAUUAUUAAUAUAUUAUAAGUUCUAAUAUAUUAAUAAUAUUAUUUGAUUAGUUGAUCAAAGAAUUAAUUUGGAAUUAAUUAAGUGAUCAAAGGAUAACUAAUUAAAUAUAUGGGUUGAUUAUGUAAAUCAUCCAUAUCUUGUAUAGUGGGCUAAGAGGCUCCAUGGAUUAUCAAGUUGGGUUCUACCCAUAGGAUGCUCCAUGGAUGCUCCAUGGGAGUUACAAACCCAUGGGUCAUGGAAAUGAAGAGUCAUGACACAUUAGGGUUUACAUGGUGUAACCCUAGAUGUGUCAACACUAUAUAAGAAGCAUAUUCUCCACCAAAAUCGGCACUACUAAGAAACAAGAGGGCUUGGCCGAUUUUUGAGAAGUGUGUGUUAUCUCAAGAGUCUUUCCAAGAGCAUUUGGUGUUGUGUGAAGCAUUUGAGGCAUCACACUUGGGGUGCUAGGCUCACAAGGUUUCAAGGAACACAAGCAACAACAAGGUAAGUUAUUCUAUCUAUGAUUCAAGUUAAAAUUGUUCCCCAUGUAUGCUAGAUAGGAAUAUAACCUUGGAAUUCAACUUUGCAUGAUAAUUAGACAAACAUAGAUCCAAGGUUAUUAGGGUUGCAUGUACACUUAGGAAGUGUUAGAAUGCUCAAAACCCAUCAUCGCCCACACUCCUCUAGCUAGGAGAUACGUGCCCUCAACCACACUCCUCUAACUAGCUGCUAAUGAAAUGCUACGACUAUCCCGCAACCUUACUACUCUUCCUGCUUUGCCUAACUGUUGGGGAAUGCUACGGCGAUCCCGUAGUCUUAAAUCCUGACUAAAUUCGCAUGCUGCCGAGGAAAUCUCCCACCUGGCUCCCAACCAGUUAUCAACUACCGUGAAUACACAAACUCAAUGUUGGGAAGUUUCCCAAACUCCCAACGCGUGCUCUCUUCAAUCCAAAUAGCCACUUAGGCUGCUUUCUUUCCCAACAAGGUUGCAAACUCAUCCCAAUUUGAGCUUACUCCUGCUCCUGACCUUUGGGAUAGUUCUGAUGGGUUUUGAGCAUUCUAACACUUCCUAAGUGUACANNNNNNNNNNNNNNNNNNNNNNNNNNNNNNNNNNNNNNNNNNNNNNNNNNNNNNNNNNNNNNNNNNNNNNNNNNNNNNNNNNNNNNNNNNNNNNNNNNNNAUACCAAAUAUAGUUAUGGGCUUAGACACUAUAUCCAACAGUAAUAAGAUCUCAGGAUGUUGCUUUAUGGAAAGAAGAAAUAAAUGAUGAAAUGUAUUCCAUCAUGGGAAAUAAUACAUGGGUUUUAUUUGAUCUUCCAUGUGGUUGUAAACCUUUGGGUUGCAAGUGGAUUUUCCAGAGGAAGAUGAAAGUUGAUGGAUCAAUUAAUAAGUUCAAGGCAAGAUUGUUUAUCCAAGGUUUUAGACAAAAUACUGAGAUUGAUUACUUUGAUACUUAUGCUCAUGUUGCUAAAAUUUUUACUAUUAGAAUAUUGAUUGUCUUAGCAGCAAUUCAAAGUUUGGUUAUUCGUCAAAUGGAUGUAAAGAAUGCAUUCUUGAAAGGUGAUGUGGAUGAAGAGGUGUACAUAAAGUAACCUGAGGGUUAUGUUUGUUGGAUAUAGUGUCUAAGUCCAUAACUAUAUUUGGUAUGUACUUGACCCGACCCGGCAUGGUCCAUUUGGGUUGCACUUCACCCGAACUAUUUAUGGAUAAUCUUUUGAGAAUAGUACAAGUUAUGAUUUAUUAAUAUAUUAUAAGUUCUAAUAUAUUAAUAUAAGAUCAUAUUAUUUAAUUAGUAUUGAUCUAUAAUUAAUCUAGGAUUAAUUUAGAGAUCAAAGAUAUUACUAAUUAAAUACGGGCUUCUAUAUUUAUAUAGUGUGGGCUAAUGCUUAUUUGGAAUGGGCUAGGCUUGCAUGGAAAGUCCAUGGAUACUCCAUGGAGCUUUAACCCNUGGGCUAGGCUUGCAUGGAAAGUCCAUGGAUACUCCAUGGAGCUUUAACCCAUGGAUCUCAUGGAAAUGAAGAGACAUGGGUAUUAGGUUUUACAUGGAUGUAACCCUAAUCCACCACACUAUAUAAAGGAGGCUUUGGUUCUUGAAAUAAAACUAGUUGACACUAGGUGAAGUGAGAAAAGCAAGAGGGCCGAUUUCAAGAUAGUAGUGACUAUUCUAUCAAAGUUCCAAGUUUGUGGUGAUUUGUGAUUUCCAUUUGAGGCAUUCACACUAUUGGUGUUAGGCUCUAAAACUCCAAGGAAUCAACUACAACUACAAGGUAAGUAUUUCUACUAGCUUUAUUUGAUUCAAGUUCCCCAUGCCAUGCUAGUUAGGAUAUGAACCUUGGAAAAAUAAUUAUUUGCAUGUAUCUUAGACAAACAUAGAUCCAAGGUUUAUUAGGGUUGCAUGUACACUUAGGAAGUGUUAGAAUGCUCAAAACCCAUCAGUGGUAUCAGAGCCUAGGCUUGUUUGUUUGAUACUUGAUGCAAAAUAUUGGAAAAAGUCGAAAAACUUGUUGUCUGCCUGAUGAACUCGCCGAGUCCAUGGGGGGACUCGCCGAGUUCAUGUGUAUCUUCAACCUACUCGUCGAGUAGGUUUAUGCACUCGGCGANNNNNNNNNNNNNNNNNNNNNNNNNNNNNNNNNNNNNNNNNNNNNNNNNNNNNNNNNNNNNNNNNNNNNNNNNNNNNNNNNNNNNNNNNNNNNNNNNNNNNNNNNNNNNNNNNNNNNNNNNNNNNNNNNNNNNNNNNNNNNNNNNNNNNNNNNNNNNNNNNNNNNNNNNNGGGUAAGACAAGGACUUAUAAAUUCUCAUUAAAAGUAUGAUGAAUAUUAUAAAGUAACUAAAUGUUUUAUUAAAUUCCCAAUCUUAGUUACCUUAGGAAAAAUGUGAAUAAGGUGCUAAUCCAUGAAAUUACACUUUACACUUUGUCUAAGUCGUUAGUGGAGCGUGUGUGGUUAACCGGCACACUAACUUGGACUUAACAAGGUAGGUAAAGGGUGACUUAAUAUUUAUCAUAGUAUCGAUGGAGCGUGUGUGGUUAACCGGCACAUCGAUUGAGGGGUAAUUUAUUAAGGGUACCAAGUAAUUUGCAUGGUUACUUCACACCUCGUUUUGUGAUCCUCGGCAUCCCAGUCACAAAACUUGGAGGGCACACUCGAGAUUGAAACAUGCCUUUGAAAAGUUCAUUGAAUCUCAAAAGAAUCUAGGAGUUUCUAAAAACCAAAUUAAAUUUUUUUAAUAUUUCGACUUUGGUGGAAAUUGGUGAAUCGUCAUUCACCUACCUUUCAAAUAUGUUAUUACUUAGAUUACGACAUUCCUCUUCUAAGUAUAAUAUAUUGUGAUUGGGUCCUAGCCUUAAUACUACAUUUGGGUGUUUUAUUAAGGACUAUCUCUAUAUCUAAACUAAUCCUUACUUUCUUCUCUUAUCAAAUGUUUGCAAACAACGCUGCUUCUAGCUCUAAUCCUAGUGGCUCCUUUUCUCUUAUGAACUUGAGUGGGAAAGUCACUUUUGAUGGAUCCAACAUUAAUGAAUGGAUCAGAAACAUCAGAAUGAUUACUCGCUACGAGGACAAGGAAUAUGUCCUCGAUAAGGAGCUUAAGGAGAUUGCUGAGAUAGUUGCUACUCCUCAAGAGUUCGCUGAGUUUAGGGCACAUGAAGGGGAUGCCACCAAAGUGGCAUGCAUCAUGAUGGCCACUAUGACCGCGGAUCUCCAAAAAUCCUAUGAAGAUUUCUACCCCUAUGAGAUGCACCAAGACUUGAUGGAAAGAUACCAUCAAAGUGCUCGUCAAGAGAGGUAUGAAAUCAUCUCCUCCAUGAUAACAACUCGCAUGAAGGAUGGUGAACCCAUCACGGGCCACAUGCAGAAAAUGCAAAGAUUUGUGGACCGUUUGCUGAAGCUUAAUGUGAACUUCCCCGAGGAGCUAGCAAUAGAUAUCAUUUUGCACUCCUUACCUUCAUGUUAUGAUCAAUUCCGCAUGACAUACCACAUGAACAAGGAAGAGGUCACUCUCAGCAAACUUCAAGGACUCUUAAAGACCGCGGAAAGUGGUCUUAAGGGUAAGGCGGUUGUUACUACUCCUACUCCUACCAACUCCGCCCCUGUCUUGGCAAUCGGGAAAGGACGAGGGAAGAAGAGAAAGAGUUCUUCGAAGGGUACCAAGGUUAGGACCCUUGAUGGCUCUUCUUCAAGUGGAACCAAGAAAGGUUUCAUCACUCCUUCUUCUGACCCAAAAGAGGCUGAAUGCUUCUAUUGCCAUGAAAAGGCACAUUGGAAGCGGAACUGCCCAAAGUACCAGCAAGAUGUGAAGGAUGGGAAAGUUAAACCCAACCAUGCAGGUAUUUACACUAUCUUAUCUAAUAACUCACCCCAUUCUAAUUCUUGGGUCCUUGAUACCGGUUGUGGUAUUCAUAUAUGUUCUGAUUUACAGGGACUAAGAAGAAGUGAGAAUGUGGAGCAAGGAAGAAUAAACUUGAUCAUGGGAAACAGGAAAGCUUCACCUGUCACCAAGAUUGGAGUUUAUACUUUAUCGCUAAGUAGUGGGUUUAGUUUAGAUUUGAAUAAGUGUUGUUAUUCGCCAGAAAUGGCAAGAAAUAUUAUUUCCUUUCAUGCAUUGUAUAAACAAGGUUUCACCUUUUCAUUUGAUAAUGAAGUUGGUUCGAUUAAUGCUUUCUUUAAUAAUGUUCUUUAUUUUAAAGCAUUACCUUGUGAUGGCGUGUAUGAAACAGUAUCUGUGGUUGAUAACUUAGGAAAUAAUGUAUUGUGUAUUGAUUCUGUUAAUAAUAAUAACUUGGAUAAAGCAUCAUUAUGGCAUUGUCGUCUUGGACAUAUAAGCAAGAAACACAUAGGCCAACUCCAAAAGGAUGGAGUCUUGGAGUCGUUUGACCUAAAGUCAGAUGAAAGUUGCGAAUCAUGCUUACUUGGAAAAAUGACAAAGUUACCCAUCACAGGCUCUUGUGAGAGGAGUGAAGGUUUGUUGGACCUUGUACACACGGAUGUGUGUGGACCAUUCAAACAUGCCACAAGGGAUGCUAAUCGUUAUUAUUUGACUUUUACUGAUGAUUACAGUAGAUAUGGAUAUGUCUACUUAAUCAAGCAUAAGUCAGAGACUUUCGAAAGGUUUAAGGAAUUUAAACAGGAAGUCGAGAAUCAAUUGGGCAGGAACAUUAAGAUGCUUCGAUCCGAUCGAGGUGGUGAGUAUCUUAGUUCAGAUUUCCUCGACUAUCUUAGGGAAUGUGGGAUUGUCUCACAAUUGACACCUCCCAGGACACCGCAGUUGAAUGGUGUGGUGAGAGGCGUAAUCGAACCUUGUUGGAUAUGGUUCGUUCCAUGAUGAGUCGAGCUUCGCUACCAAUUUCAUUCUGGGGGUAUGCCUUAGAGACUGUCGCCCAUAUUCUUAAUCUAGUCCCUACAAAGAAAGUUGCCAAAACUCCUCACGAGAUGUGGACUGGUAAAGUACCCAACCUAGACCACAUCAAGAUUUGGGGUUGCGAGGCUUUUGUGAGGCGCGAGACUCAUGAGAAGCUAGAACCCCGAAGCGAGAGGUGUAUUUUCAUCGGCUACCCACAAUGAUCCUUUGAUUACCUCUUCUACAGACCUAGCGAUAAUGUGGUCUCUAUAGCAAGAAGAGGAGUAUUUC
rnacentral:lncRNA from 1 species